CCGGAUGAAAUGAAGGGGGAGUCAUUCGGGAUUCAGCCGUUGAAUUUCGAGAUCAUCAGGAAAGAAGUUGAUAAUUUUAUCGGGAGUACUAAUUCUGGAGGAAUAGGAGACAAGAGAGAUAUUUUCGAAGUUUUACGGAUAAAUUUCAGUCCAUUUGAGUGCCUGGAGGGGCAAAAAAUGUGAUUCAUCAUUGAUUAUUUUGAGCGGAAACAUUAAACUUUGAGAUGGAAACAUCAGGAUGUCCAGUCAUCGCCCCGGAAAAUGAUUCCUAUUGUUGUAGAAGCAGGAAUCACUGUUGGGAAAUUAAUCUCUGAAUUUGGUGUGAAAAAGCUUCAAUAUUUUUAUAGUAAUGACCAAGUAAAAUGAAACCUUGGGAUUCGUACACCUUGAGUUCCGACUCACACUUCUUAUUAAGGGGUUAUUCUCAUGUGAACGCCUAUAUUUUACCACUUUUUCGGAAUUUUUUUUUUAUGCGACAACAAACUUCAAUCAUGUUGAUUUUUCAAUAUAUUUUUAUUUGUAUUUUGAAAUAUACGAAAAAAUUUUUUUUUUCCGUUUUUUACAUUUUUAACAUAUAUUUUUUUUAAGUCAAAGUAGUCCCCAACAAAAAAAGGUAUUUCACUGGUCAAGGUGAUAGCGGCUGUUCAUGUUGUCUGACAUAAAAAAAUCGAAUGGAUUAUUAUUCAGUAGAUCUGUGGCUAUCGUCCCUACCAAAUAUAAUCAAUUUCAUUAAAAACAAAAAAAAAUAUCGAACUUCAAAAAAAAAAUCACGAAAAUCUCCUUCUUUUUCGUUACAAAUCGUUUAAAAAAAAUAUGAAGAUAUUGUCGAAAAUAAACAAUUGUGGUAGGGACGAUAACUAUAAAUGUGUAGAAGAACAUAUGUAAAUUUUAAAGCAAUCGGUUGAAUACUUUUUCUUGUAGGAUCUUGACCGUUUCAGAAAAUGAUGAUUCGAGAAAAACGCGUUUAAAGUUUAAAGCCUGGUAGACAAUCGCUUACGACACGUCGGCGACUAUGAGCUGUAACUUAUCAAAUACUAUGAAUUUCGGUCUGAAUUUUUCACAGCAUGUUUUCAAUAGGUUUUACUGUCAAAAUAUCAAAAAAAAAAAAAAUCGAUUUUUUGAAGUGCUCACAUGAGAAUAACCCCUUAAAUUUUACUUCCCUCCGAAAUUACCUUGGAAAUUUAAUUUUUAUCAAUUUUUCCCGGUAAUUAUUAUUCAAUUUUUCCCUCGGUAUAUAAAUGGCUGAACACUGCGCGCGCAUCUUCGAUUUAUGGUUUCAUUUUAGAUAAGUUUUGUCAAUAUUAUAGUGUUAUUGGAAUAGAUAUGAAUAGUUCUCCACUAAACCUGAAGCCAAAAAAAUUAUAUGUCCAAUAUUUCUCUACAAAUUUUCAAAUGUUAAAACUUGUGUUUUUCAAUAUUAUUAUUAUGUACGAUAAAUCUUAUAUACUUUUAUGUUCAUGCGACUGAUCAUUUUUCUCCGAAUUACGAAUUUAAGAAAUGGCGGGGGCUGACGACAUCACCAUUUUUGAGACUCCACCGGCUUUCCGGAAACCUCAAGGGUCGAAUGGCUGACGCAACAAAAUUGUAAGAAUUGAAAAAGGGAACCAUCUAUCACAAUCCUCGUGAGAGUUACCUGUCGCAAGCUUUCUAUCUCAUGACAGUCAAACGUCACGUACGUGACAGCCUUGUAAAGGAGGAAUUUUACUAGGGCACUUACUGACGUAUCCAUAAUCAUUAGCAUUAAACUGGAUGACUCACAUUGCUAUAAUAAGCCUGAUCGAAGCCACCAGCGGUGGCACGAGGACAAGCGCUGUGUCGAAACAAAUUUUCGGUCCUAUUAUGGGGCUUUCCUCAUUCCGUUAAUGACAACGGUGUGUGUGACAGGAUACAGGUGAGUUUAGUCACAGGGUGAUAUUUCACAGUGCUUUUUAGCGAGAGAAUUUAAUUACUUCAUGAGAAAAAUUUCAUAUUAAACUGAUUAAUAUAAAAACUUAUUCCUCUAAGAAUAAGCUUUUUUCAAUAAUUAAUAUCAACGUAUGCGAUCAAUUAAAAUUAAAAUUAAAGCUUUUUGUAAAGCUCUGAACCCACGAGGUUAAACACUUUGAUCUUUUCGUAAAGGUUUAUGUAUGACUCGAGUAAUUGUUCUGUAAAAAAGAUUUUCAAAGAUUUCCUCAUAUUAUCAUUACGAAGAUAAUUGAACAAUUAACAAAACAUUGGUUUGAACAAUGUGAAAUAUUUAUGCAAUCAUGUCGGUAAUUAGCAGCGUUACGAGAAAAUCCUAAAGAGACGUUUUGUGUAAUCGAGGGAAUUCUCGGUAAAAUAUUUUCUGCCAUUUUCCCCGAUUUUUCCUAGAUCGUCUGUGCCUACAUAAUAUUCUAGCAUACAAUAAAUUCGCAGCCUUUCCUUUGGCCUGGGAUCCACGCACAUCCGACUAAAUGGAUUUCAAUGAGAUUUUUACUGUCAAUUAGAUUAGAAUCUGUGUUCUAACAUCAGUUAUAAAUUAUUGCGCUAAGUUACAUGUGAGGAAAGGUGCUCUCAGUGCUAUUCCGAAAGAGUAAUUAAUUGAAUUGAAUUUAGGCCGACUCGAUAUAUUUUUAAAAUCUAAAUUUUUCCAUUUGGGGUAUAAUUUAUUGCAAAGGGAGAGGGAGAGGUAUUGCAAAAGAAAGAAAUGAGCAAUGGCUAUUACGUGACAGAAAGAAAUCAUAUAGAAAACCCCCAUUUAGCAACCUAUUGCCCAUUCAUUAGCAAAUUAUUAGCAAAAACAACUAUACUAUUCACAGAAAUGAGCAAUUGCCAGUUAUUUGAUUAGAUGGCAGUUAAUUUAAUGAAAAAAUAUGAUAUACCCGGGUAAUGAUGAAUUGAUGAUGCUGAUGUUCUCAGUCAAUCAAAUACUUGACUAAAAUUCUCAAAAGUUGUCAUUGAACCCUCAGCCCAUUAUUUCCAAUUCUCUCUCCUCCGAUCUUCGCCUACGAUUGCCUCAAGUCUCCACUUGGCGCAACAUCAGCAGAUCGCCUGCAUAUCCCCAGUGCUGUUGUGGCGCAAUGUACCACCGCGAGGUGAGGUUUCGUCGUCUCACCUCGACCGUUUCUCUCCCCGGACAUUUCCUGACAUUGCAUUCACGUUGGAUUUCAUUCUUAACUGCGAAAUACGAGAAAAUAAAAAUGAGAAAAUUUUUUUUUCUCACUCAUUUCAAUCGCCCUCUCGCGCUCUGAUGUCCCUGAGAGCUGGAGACGUAAAAAAGGUUCGAAAACUUGACACCGAGUGUGUGUAUUAUGAGGAGAAUAUUUCGCAAUAGGAUCAGCCAUGUAUUAGUCUUCGUUUCGCUUCUCAUUUUUAUGUAUUGCUUCAUUUUUUUUUUUACUUCUCUUUGUCCUCUUUAUUCUUAAUUUUGUCGUCUCUCUUUCUCUCUGUCAAAGACCCUGCGGAGGCCCCCGAGCGACGUAUAGACCCGAGUACGCAAUGGAAAUGAGGCAAUCGUACGCGACUUUUGCACGAUAUCGACAUGCGAUAUGAACUCGAUUUCGUUGAGAAAAUGUGGAAUUGUAAUGAACUGAGGGUUAUUUUAAUAAAUUCAUGUCUGACAGAUAAUCGAUUCAGAGUAUUUGGUACUAGUGGGUGAAUUUAUUUGUAUUGCGACAUUCAAAAUUGACUGAAAGGCGAAAAGCGAAUUUCUCCAUUUCUUUGUGUUACGCAGAACGAUUUUUUUUAAUUCAAGGGAUUUCUGAAGAUGCUCUCGCAAAAAGUUCAUAUAGCGUUACUGAGUCAACGUGAGGCCUGAUGAGUGCGGUAAUGAAAUAGUAGAAAGGGAACAGUUCAAGGAAUUAAUUCGAAAUAUACUGUUGGGGCAUAAUAUUUGAAGAUAUGAUGUUCCAACUGAAAUAUCUUCAAAAGUGAGAGGCCGAGAAGUAUUGGUUGAUUGAGAUGUUUUUAUAGGAAAUUCCGUAUUCUAGAAAAAGAAUUCCUGAUGUUCUUCGUUAAACCCACUUGUUUUGCUUCUCCAAGCAAUUACGACACGAUCUCUAUUUCAACUCCAACCGGACUUUUUAAUGAUUUUUUCAAUGCCCCUGAAAAUUAAAGGUUCAACGAACCUCGUUAAGUCGAGUAUGGAUAUUUCAGAAUCUUAAUGAGAAAAUUAUUGGAGUCGAAUUAGAAGUCCCCACUUCACAUUCUCCUGUGAACUCCCCAUUUCCACAGAUAAUUGAGCCUGCAGGCUUAUUGAAAGGUAUAUUGAGGUAGACCAUGUUAAGUGAAUCAAGGGGGGACCCUCACCCUCGUCGAAAUUGAUCUCGAUUUUCCUGAUUUUUAAAGCAGUUUGUUUUGGAGAUGUGGAUUUAUCUUUAUGUCUAGAAUUAUUUCUUUCAUUUUAUUAAAAAAAGGGCUAAUAAAAAUAGAGUGAGAAAUUUAUUUUUAUAAAAAUUCUGAAAAUCCCAGAUGGAAAGGCAUAUUUUACCAAAAAUUUCUCCCUAUGGGGAACCCAAUUACAGAAGAUUGACUUAUUUCACAUACGAUUCCUGGUAGAGUGAUUAAAAACAAGUUUUUGAGGGAAUAAAUAUCUUUACAAAAAGGGAAGGACUAAAAAUAUUGGCUGGGCUUUUCAGCAGAGAAUCUGAUGGACUUAAGAAGUUUUAGAAAUAUCUAUUGUUAAUCUGUUAUGGUUUCUAGGAAAUGUUGGCUAAUGCACCCCAUUAGAUAAGCGGAUCAAGCCUAAACCGAUGUUCUAUUCUACAAAAUGUCCUUGAUUUAUAAUUUUACAAGUCAUGUAGACUUUAUGUUAAGUCGUUCGAGGAGUCAAUUCAAAGUAGUUGCAAUAAUUCACCUAUCAUGUAUUUUCUUGGCGACCCAGUUACACGCAUUCGAGUCUCAACCUCACAAACAGCAAAGUGAUAAUUUUAAAAAAUGGGAGAAUUGAAAUAUUGUGACCAUCGGUUUAUCUCUGUCAAGGUUGUUUGCUGACAAAAAAUUACCAUUCCGUUUCAUUGACAACGAAACGUGGAAUAGAUUUUGUAACCGCUUAAAUUCAGCGUCAACAGGAAGACCCAGAGAGGAAAACCGUACGAUAAACCGCGAAUUAACAGUCAAACUGUUGUGAUAAGUGGCAGAAGUUCAACUUAAAAAAAAUAUAUCCUGAAAUAACGAUUUCGUACGCGAGUCACCGACAAAAAAAAAGAAAAAAAAAUGUUCAAUGCGCGACCAUGAAAACUUUUUUACCUCUUAUGAUUACAGGACGAUAUGAAGGUGAGUUAAGGAUAAUUGAUUACCAUUUUCAAUCAUUAAAUCUCCCAAUUAUGAAUCAUUGCUCACAUUUAUAAAAAAUUUUGUCUCAAUUUUUUGCCGAGUAUUAUAUUGCAAAUUUAAAUAAAUUACGGAAUUCUUAUCUUCGAAUUUUCCUGCAUUUUCAGUGAAAACUGAAUUUUCGCUUGGUUAAUUUCGAAAUCGUCUCCAGGGCCACUGUCCUCACAGUUCAAGAAUGAAUUUACCAGAUUUGUCUAGCUUUCCAUUUAUUUCUAAAGCAAAACAGAGCGGAAAUUUCGAGUUCUGUUUCAUCUUUUUGCGAAUUUCUGAAUUUUCAAAGUCAAGAUCUUCUAUAUCUUUAGUAAAAUUGCGACACGUUAAAGCUUUCCGGACUUUGCUGGAAAUAAUUCAGACCUUGUUCUCCCAGAACUGUAUGCUUCAGCACCGCCAUUAAAAAGUCGAUCGAUUGUGGCAAUUAUAGUUUAAAUCUGAAGAAACAGCCCGAAAAUAAAAUUUACACGACCGGAUGUUACAACACAUACAUUGAUGAUAUUGGAACACAUAACAGUUGUGGGUAUCAAGAAAGAGGCGAGGAGAAUUGCGUCACGUUGGCAGACACUGAGAGACCAAGCCAAGGACUGAAAUCGAUUCGAUCAUCCGCAAAAACGAAGGCCUGUGAUAAAAUAAUCGGCAAAUUGAACGAUACACGAAAAAGGGACAGGUAUAAAUAUUCCACCGAGGUCGAAUACUCCUCAAUUUUGAAUUUCCACAUCGCUGAAACUGAACCAUUAUAUUAUUCAUUUUUCUCGUCGUUUUGAGUCUACUUAAAUAGCCUUACGCAAAUGUAAACACGUCAAACACGAGUGAGAGACAUCACGUGACUAUAAUUAAACGGCUUCACAACGGAGCGCAACGUUAUCGAAACAUAUAUUGCGUCUAACUGAGCGCGAUAAGUCCACAUGGAGAUUGGAGAGGAAAGAGAACAAUUGGAUGAGGACAUCUGAUUGAGAGAGGGAUAUUCCCACGAAUUUUGUAAUAAUUUAUCUGAAUUUUAGGGGAGGUGGAAGCCGAGAAACGAAAUAAAGAAUCGGAAGAUUAUUUUUUCCCAUGUUAAACGAAUGUGAAAAAUCAAUCGAAAUUAUUCCCUCUAGCAAUAUCUGACAAAAAUUAUUUGUUGUUCUCACUGUAUCGACUUACGAAAUAUUAAGAAAUUGAGAAUAUUGAUGGAUAAUUAAUUCAACAAAAAUUACCUAAUUAUUCACCAAUAAAAUUAUUCGUUCCCAUACGAUUCUGUCUAUCUCUCAUACCUCACACAAUCACACGAUGAAAACGAAUUGAUUUCUAUGAGUCUAUGAUUUCAAAAAUGUAUCAACAUAGAGAGAGAUGUUGAGUCUAGACAUAAACAUAAGCCAUGAGGUCAUGUGGCAAAGGAACUAGGGAUCCUUUGUCACAUUAUGACAAUUUUUUUUUUGGCCUCGACCACUUUCAGUCUGCUGUGUAAGUCGUAGUGAACAGACAUUUCUUCCUCGUGCCAUUUUCAAUAAACUUAAAUUAACGUAUUAAAUCCACAGUGUUCAAAGUUAUUUAUCUGUCCCCCAAUAUUCCAUUAUUAUGAAAAAACCCCUCAGGAAUUUCAUCAAAACCCCUCGUUAAAAGGGGGUGGGGGAAGGGGGUCGAAUAGGUAGACGGAAAUAGUUCCACCCUUUCCAAACCUAAAAUUUAAUUCCAUUCAAAUUAUCAUGAUUAUAAAAAUCUUGGGAUUAAUCCGUUUAUAACCCCAUAACCAGAACUGUCGGUAUUGGUAAAGGCCAGAGAAUUUAACCACGGUUACAAUCCCCCUUAAUUCCUUCCUCCUUUAAUAUUUUUCUGGCCGAGAUGAUUCGAAGGGGCUUGAGAAGAUCACAAACAUCCCGGAAGUCUCGUCAUCCGUUUUGAUUCUACAUACUCCGACAUCCGGUGAAUUGCUCAGACCAGCUUUUUUUCUUACGUAUUCAAUAGCUCUCGAGUCAAUUUCCAACCGUCAUUGUCAAUGUAUUUCCGCUUCCUGGGGACUGAGGAAACUGGAAAAUGGGAUGGAAUAAACUUCGAGCAAUAAUCGUAAAAAUAUGCAACCCAGAGGAAAACCAAGGUGAGGAAAGAUCUUUUACAACCUUGUAAAUAAAGAUAUCUGGGGGGGUACCGGGGGUCUUUGGUCAAAAGGGGGAGCGGAUCAGACAGCCCAAAUGGAUUUAUGUGGCCUAAGAACUGCAGUUGUAUGAUGCGAGAUGGAACAGAACAUUUGCGAAUUUCACGA